UACGUAGGCAGCAAGCAUUGUUCGGAUUCAUUGGGCGUAAAGGGUGUGUAGGUGGCGCCGUAAGUCGGGUGUGAAAUUUCGGAGCUUAACUCCGAAACUGCAUUCGAUACUGCGGUGCUUGAGGACUGGAGAGGAGACUGGAAUUCAUGGUGUAGCAGUGAAAUGCGUAGAUAUCGAUAAGGAAGACCAGUGGCGAAGGCGGAUCUCUGGACAGCUCCUGACGCUGAGGCGCGAAGGCUAGGGGAGCAAACGGG
rnacentral:rRNA from 1 species